rnacentral:lncRNA from 1 species
AAGAUGCUUUCAUGUUCUCUCCCUAGCACUGUUGAGAUGCCCGGCACAUGCCCAGUUCUCACUAUAGUCAUUGCAACCACACACAAAGACGAUUGUUUCUCUGGAUUUAUACCUAAUGGAAUAAACAUUGAGAUGAGCUUUUUAGUGUACCUGUAAGCUUUAUUAAAUUUCCUUUAUAUAGUUUUAGAAUUAAGAGUAGUAAGUUCUAGAAAUGAUCUUUAAAAAAAACAAAACGAAACAAAACCCCCAAAAAACAGCUGUCUGUAAAGUGAGUCCUUGUGGGCUUCAGUGACUACGCCUCGGAGGGGCACAUCCCUGUCCUCUGCAGAAGGGGCCUCCUGGGGCAGUCGCCUGCCUGACCGGGAGCUGCCUUUGCCUGAGCCUUGGUUGGUCUUUCUCCUCAGUGAGCUGGGAAGUGUGGGCUGGUGUCUGCUGGAGAAACAGUGGCAUCCAGGAUUCAUGGGGGAAAGUGAGCCCAUCAACCCCGUGAUGGUAGGGGGUGAGUGGCUUAGUUACUUCCCUACUACUGUGCAGAGACACCAUGACUGAGGCCACUAUACAAGAAAGCAAUGAAUUGGGCUUGCUUACAUUUUCAGAAGACGGGUUCCAUGACCAUCAUGACGGAAGCACAGUGACAAGCAGGGAGAUGUGGAACUGGAGCGGUGGCUGAGAGCUUAACCAGAGGUGCUAAGGGAUGAGGGAGAGACCAGGCCUGGCGUGGCCUAUGAAACCUCAGAUCCCACUCCCAGGGACAUCUCCUCCCACAAGGCCACAUCUUCCGAUCCUUCCUAAGCAGUCCUACCAACUGGGAACAAACACUUAGGUCUACAGGGACAUUCCCAUUCGGACCACUACAGGGAGACUUCCCCUUUUUCCUGUCUUACUAUUACAUGAGACCUCAGAACUUAUCUGGAACUUAAAGUAAGAGAGUAAGACCAGCAGUACAUGUAUAGAAAUCAAUAGCCCUUUUCCAGACCUCUGAUGGGUAUCUUAGACAGCUGUGUAACUUGGUAAGCGUGCCCGGUCUUAUCCAUAGUGAUGGACUGAAGGCCAGCCCGGGUUUUUCUUCUUGGAAGAUGCUUGUUUAGAACUGCUUGUCUUGCUUAAAACCAAGAAGGUAUCAUCUGUGAUUGUGUGACCACCACAUUUCUCCUUGCAAACACCAGCUCGUUUGUCUUCACUCUGCAGAGUGGGUUUGGAAGGCAGGUUCUCCGAGGCCAGUUGCUUGGGUCUUUGUGAUGCCUGGCAGCUUAGCGAUGUGCUCAGUUACUGUGAGCAGAUUCGCCUUGAUGGCCAGUGCAAAGCAGUGCAUGGCCUGGGAGCUCUUGCUCAGGUACAGUGAGAUCUCACCAUUUAAUCCAGUAAUUAAAACACCAAUGCUAGAGUGGCUUCAAUAAAGAGAGGCCAUCCCUGAAAGAUGGUUGUGGGUACUAUGUUGUCAGGUGCUCCGUGUUGUCCCUAGCGACAUGCCACCCAGACUUUCAAGGACAAAAGCAGGAUAGUGACUACAAAGUAACUGGGUGCUCUGAUUCAGUGUAGAGCCACCAACCCCAAGGGACUGCACCUCUCCACUUCCGUGCAGUACAGCAGAGAUCCUAAGAGCGCAUACUGGGUUAUUCUGUCCCCACUGACGUGUCCGUUGUGUUAGAAAUGAUUUGUUGGGGUUUGUCAGGUUUGAGAUCUGAGGUCUGUGUUCCCCCUCAUUCUGAUCCUCACUCUUAAGCUCCUUUUUCCUGUAUUUACCUUGGCUGGGAUAAAGUUGGAUGUGGAUGUUGGUAGAGCAAAGGGAAAUAUACAGAGAACGACAGAGGUGCAAAGGUAUUGUCGUCAGGAAAAUCCAAAGGGCCACCCUGUGUCAUUUGCAGCUGCAGGAAGUGUGUCUUUAGCCUGAGUGCUGGGGGUGUUUACAGAGUGACAGAGUGUCUCCCCACACUGUCCUUGGCUGCCUUUGUUGGACUGGAGGUUCUCUGGACGAUAGAAUACAUGAUAGACAGGAACAGGAAUUGAGAAUUCAUCUGCGUGGUGAAGCAGCCCACUGUUUGAUUCAGAAACCCUGACCCAGCCAACUGCCUCUCAGCAGCUGCAGGAAGCCACUGUGUCUUCACUGCACUUGUUCAGAGUGGAGAUUGCUCUCCUGUCUGUGGUGGACACUGGCUGAAGGCAGAGCAUAAACCCUUGAAAGCACUGGGGGCCCCUCAGCCCUCCGGGUGCAGACACACAUGUGGAUCUGUGAAUUUGAGGAGUGCCAGAGUUACAUAGUGAGACUCUGUCUCUC